rnacentral:rRNA from 1 species
AUGCCUAGCCGUAAAACAUUAACUUACACCAUAAACCGCCCGGGAAUUACGAGCCCAAGCUUAAAACCCAAAGGACUUGACGGUGUCCCAUCCACCUAGAGGAGCCUGUUCUAUAAUCGAUUCUCCCCGAUACACCUCACCACUUCUAGCCCCCAGUCUGUAUACCUCCGUCGCAAGCUUACCAUGUGAACGAAACUAGUGAGCUUAAAGAUCUUUUUCACCAACACGUCAGGUCAAGGUGCAGCUUACGAAGCGGAAAGAAAUGGGCUACAAUUUCUAACCUAGAACAAACGAAAGGCUGCAUGAAAAACAGUCAUGAAGGCGGAUUUAGUAGUAAAAAGAAAAUAGAGUGUUCUUUUUAAUAAGGCCCUGGGACGCGUACACA